GACGAACGCUGGCGGCGUGCUUAACACAUGCAAGUCGAACGGUAAGGCCCUUCGGGGUACACGAGUGGCGAACGGGUGAGUAACACGUGGGUGAUCUGCCCUGCACUUCGGGAUAAGCCUGGGAAACUGGGUCUAAUACCGGAUAGGACUCCUGGCUUCAUGGUUGGGAGUGGAAAGCUUUUGCGGUGUGGGAUGGGCCCGCGGCCUAUCAGCUUGUUGGUGGGGUAAUGGCCUACCAAGGCGACGACGGGUAGCCGGCCUGAGAGGGUGAUCGGUCACACUGGGACUGAGAUACGGCCCAGACUCCUACGGGAGGCAGCAGUGGGGAAUAUUGCACAAUGGGCGCAAGCCUGAUGCAGCGACGCCGCGUGAGGGAUGACGGCCUUCGGGUUGUAAACCUCUUUCAGCUAUGACGAAGCGCAAGUGACGGUAGAAGCAGAAGAGGGACCGGCCAACUACGUGCCAGCAGCCGCCGUAA
rnacentral:rRNA from 1 species